CUCCCACCCCUCAUCCCAAGGACACCCAAAUGGAAGGGAUGCGGACAGCAGUACAAUCCUGUGGGUGAAUCCUCCUGGUCGAAGAGGAACAUAAUUCAACUGGAAUUUUCAGGAACUUGAUAUCUGUAUCCUGCAGUAGAGA